CCUUUGUACACACCGCCCGUCGCUACUACCGAUUGAAUGGCUCAGUGAGGCUUUCGGACUGGCCCAGGGAGGCGGGCAACUGCCACCCAGGGCCGGAAAGUUGUCCAAACUCGGUCAUUUAGAGG
rnacentral:rRNA from 1 species